rnacentral:rRNA from 1 species
UUAAGCGACUAAGCGUACACGGUGGAUGCCCUGGCAGUCAGAGGCGAUGAAGGACGUGCUAAUCUGCGAUAAGCGUCGGUGAGGUGAUAUGAACCGUUAUAACCGGCGAUUUCCGAAUGGGGAAACCCAGUGUGUUUCGACACACUAUCAUUAACUGAAUCCAUAGGUUAAUGAGGCGAACCGGGGGAACUGAAACAUCUAAGUACCCCGAGGAAAAGAAAUCAACCGAGAUUCCCCCAGUAGCGGCGAGCGAACGGGGAGGAGCCCAGAGCCUGAAUCAGUGUGUGUGUUAGUGGAAGCGUCUGGAAAGGCGCGCGAUACAGGGUGACAGCCCCGUACACAAAAAUGCACAUGCUGUGAGCUCGAUGAGUAGGGCGGGACACGUGGUAUCCUGUCUGAAUAUGGGGGGACCAUCCUCCAAGGCUAAAUACUCCUGACUGACCGAUAGUGAACCAGUACCGUGAGGGAAAGGCGAAAAGAACCCCGGCGAGGGGAGUGAAAAAGAACCUGAAACCGUGUACGUACAAGCAGUGGGAGCCUCUUAAUGGGGUGACUGCGUACCUUUUGUAUAAUGGGUCAGCGACUUAUAUUCUGUAGCAAGGUUAACCGAAUAGGGGAGCCGAAGGGAAACCGAGUCUUAACUGGGCGUUAAGUUGCAGGGUAUAGACCCGAAACCCGGUGAUCUAGCCAUGGGCAGGUUGAAGGUUGGGUAACACUAACUGGAGGACCGAACCGACUAAUGUUGAAAAAUUAGCGGAUGACUUGUGGCUGGGGGUGAAAGGCCAAUCAAACCGGGAGAUAGCUGGUUCUCCCCGAAAGCUAUUUAGGUAGCGCCUCGUGAAUUCAUCUCCGGGGGUAGAGCACUGUUUCGGCAAGGGGGUCAUCCCGACUUACCAACCCGAUGCAAACUGCGAAUACCGGAGAAUGUUAUCACGGGAGACACACGGCGGGUGCUAACGUCCGUCGUGAAGAGGGAAACAACCCAGACCGCCAGCUAAGGUCCCAAAGUCAUGGUUAAGUGGGAAACGAUGUGGGAAGGCCCAGACAGCCAGGAUGUUGGCUUAGAAGCAGCCAUCAUUUAAAGAAAGCGUAAUAGCUCACUGGUCGAGUCGGCCUGCGCGGAAGAUGUAACGGGGCUAAACCAUGCACCGAAGCUGCGGCAGCGACACUAUGUGUUGUUGGGUAGGGGAGCGUUCUGUAAGCCUGUGAAGGUGGCCUGUGAGGGUUGCUGGAGGUAUCAGAAGUGCGAAUGCUGACAUAAGUAACGAUAAAGCGGGUGAAAAGCCCGCUCGCCGGAAGACCAAGGGUUCCUGUCCAACGUUAAUCGGGGCAGGGUGAGUCGACCCCUAAGGCGAGGCCGAAAGGCGUAGUCGAUGGGAAACAGGUUAAUAUUCCUGUACUUGGUGUUACUGCGAAGGGGGGACGGAGAAGGCUAUGUUGGCCGGGCGACGGUUGUCCCGGUUUAAGCGUGUAGGCUGGUUUUCCAGGCAAAUCCGGAAAAUCAAGGCUGAGGCGUGAUGACGAGGCACUACGGUGCUGAAGCGACAAAUGCCCUGCUUCCAGGAAAAGCCUCUAAGCAUCAGGUAACAUCAAAUCGUACCCCAAACCGACACAGGUGGUCAGGUAGAGAAUACCAAGGCGCUUGAGAGAACUCGGGUGAAGGAACUAGGCAAAAUGGUGCCGUAACUUCGGGAGAAGGCACGCUGAUAUGUAGGUGAAGCGACUUGCUCGUGGAGCUGAAAUCAGUCGAAGAUACCAGCUGGCUGCAACUGUUUAUUAAAAACACAGCACUGUGCAAACACGAAAGUGGACGUAUACGGUGUGACGCCUGCCCGGUGCCGGAAGGUUAAUUGAUGGGGUUAGCGGCAACGCGAAGCUCUUGAUCGAAGCCCCGGUAAACGGCGGCCGUAACUAUAACGGUCCUAAGGUAGCGAAAUUCCUUGUCGGGUAAGUUCCGACCUGCACGAAUGGCGUAAUGAUGGCCAGGCUGUCUCCACCCGAGACUCAGUGAAAUUGAACUCGCUGUGAAGAUGCAGUGUACCCGCGGCAAGACGGAAAGACCCCGUGAACCUUUACUAUAGCUUGACACUGAACAUUGAGCCUUGAUGUGUAGGAUAGGUGGGAGGCUUUGAAGUGUGGACGCCAGUCUGCAUGGAGCCGACCUUGAAAUACCACCCUUUAAUGUUUGAUGUUCUAACGUUGGCCCGUAAUCCGGGUUGCGGACAGUGUCUGGUGGGUAGUUUGACUGGGGCGGUCUCCUCCUAAAGAGUAACGGAGGAGCACGAAGGUUGGCUAAUCCUGGUCGGACAUCAGGAGGUUAGUGCAAUGGCAUAAGCCAGCUUGACUGCGAGCGUGACGGCGCGAGCAGGUGCGAAAGCAGGUCAUAGUGAUCCGGUGGUUCUGAAUGGAAGGGCCAUCGCUCAACGGAUAAAAGGUACUCCGGGGAUAACAGGCUGAUACCGCCCAAGAGUUCAUAUCGACGGCGGUGUUUGGCACCUCGAUGUCGGCUCAUCACAUCCUGGGGCUGAAGUAGGUCCCAAGGGUAUGGCUGUUCGCCAUUUAAAGUGGUACGCGAGCUGGGUUUAGAACGUCGUGAGACAGUUCGGUCCCUAUCUGCCGUGGGCGCUGGAGAACUGAGGGGGGCUGCUCCUAGUACGAGAGGACCGGAGUGGACGCAUCACUGGUGUUCGGGUUGUCAUGCCAAUGGCACUGCCCGGUAGCUAAAUGCGGAAGAGAUAAGUGCUGAAAGCAUCUAAGCACGAAACUUGCCCCGAGAUGAGUUCUCCCUGAGACUUAGAGUCUCCUGAAGGAACGUUGAAGACGACGACGUUGAUAGGCCAGGUGUGUAAGCGCAGCGAUGCGUUGAGCUAACCGGUACUAAUGAACCGUGAGGCUUAACCUU